CGGUGCAGAGGCAGCGGCAGCGGCAGCGGCGGCUUUCUCAAUCCUCAGAGCUUCUCUCUUCUCGGCCUUCAUAUCUCUUGAGUAACCAUGAUGGUUGUGGUCUCAAACUAAAGAAACGAGAAAAUGAAAGCUGUUGCAACUAGUGCUUGUCGGAGUAUCUUGCAAUCAAGAGCUGUUAUUGUUGGUCGUUUGUGUAACUUUUGUUCGUUUGCAUACGAAUUUCUGGAAAUAUAAUUCGGGCUUUGGUUUUCUGUUAAACGUUUAGGCAAAUGGGCAAAAUGACAAUUUGCGUGAUUUAGUUUUCCUGCCAGUAUGUUUUCAGGCAUGAAAACAGGGAGAAAAUAAACGGCAGCAUAGUGUUUUGUACAGAAUCUCAUGUCCAAAUCUGCUAGUCCUCGAGCGCUUGUUCCAUGUUGCAGGCAUCUUGAAGUUGAACUACAACUCUUUUGGUGUUUGCAAUUGUACUAUGCUAUAAAAAGGUAGUUACGACUAACUAGUUUCUCCUUUGAUCAGCAUUAAAAAGGGCUCAAAAAUAGAUGCAAAUUUUCUUUUAAAGAUCAAAAUGGUAUUGAAAUGGAAUUGAAUCUGCAUUUUCACAUUUGCA